GAAGUACUCCCUCAGUCCAACAAAGGAUGUCUCAACUUUAACUAAAUUUGAAUGUAUCUAUACACUAAGUCACAUCUAGAUACAUUCAAAUUUUGAUAAAUUUAAGACAUCUUUUGUGGGACGGAAAGAGUAGUAA
rfam:Brachypodium distachyon strain Bd21 chromosome 5, whole genome shotgun sequence.